rnacentral:lncRNA from 1 species
UUCAGAUUUUCUUUUGUUUGUGUGUGUUUUUGUUUUUUUUUGGAUGAAGGUUAAGAGGAAGCUUUCUUUCUUACUUAAAGGUUUGUAUGCUGGGCAGAUAGUUAAUGGUACAGAAAUCCAAGCUUUAUUUGGGGGAACAAGAGAGCAGACAGGACAUAGAGGUCUUAUUGGCAGAAGUGGCAAAGUAGGGGACAAUCUUUCAUAGGAUCAUAAAAUUAUAGCCCCCAAACACAAUCUAGUGAAAUCACCUUGUUUCUAAGAAGGUUUUCACAAAGAGCUAAUACUAAAGAAUUGGGGUUACAGAAUACAUGGUAUUAUCCAUGCCAAAUACAAA